rnacentral:rRNA from 1 species
AGCGAACGCUGGCGGCAGGCCUAACACAUGCAAGUCGAACGAAGUCUUCGGACUUAGUGGCGGACGGGUGAGUAACACGUGGGAACGUGCCUUUAGGUUCGGAAUAACUCAGGGAAACUUGUGCUAAUACCGAAUGUGCCCUUCGGGGGAAAGAUUUAUCGCCUUUAGAGCGGCCCGCGUCUGAUUAGCUAGUUGGUGAGGUAAAGGCUCACCAAGGCUACGAUCGGUAGCUGGUCUGAGAGGAUGACCAGCCACAUUGGGACUGAGACACGGCCCAAACUCCUACGGGAGGCAGCAGUGGGGAAUCUUGCGCAAUGGGCGAAAGCCUGACGCAGCCAUGCCGCGUGGAUAAUGAAGGUCUUAGGAUUGUAAAAUCCUUUCACCGGUGAAGAUAAUGACUGUAGCCGGAGAAGAAGCCCCGGCUAACUUCGUGCCAGCAGCCGCCGUAACAC